rnacentral:rRNA from 1 species
GGAGUUUGGGCCGUGUCUCAGUCCCAGUGUGGCCGAUCACCCUCUCAGGUCGGCUACCCAUCGUCGGCUUGGUGGGCCGUUACCUCACCAACUACCUAAUGGGACGCGAGCUCACCUCAGACCGGAUUGCUCCUUUGACCCCUUCGCCAUGUGGCGUUGUGGUCUCAUGCGGUAUUAGUGCAACUUUCGCUGCGUUAUCCCCCUCGUCUGAGACAGAUUGCUCACGCGUUACUCACCCGUCCGCCGCUGAAAUUAUCCGGAAUCCUGCCGAAGCUCUCAUCUAAAUAAUCUCCGCUCGACUUGCAUGUGUUAGGCACGCCGCCAGCGUUCGUCCUCGAGCCACGGAUCAAACUACU